GCUGUCAAGUAGCCUAUUCAGCAC
rnacentral:siRNA from 1 species